CUUCCUGAAAAGUAGACAUCAUACUAUUUCUCCUUUUCCUGAAGAGUAUCCUUGGGAAGCCAUGGGGUCAAGGUAUAUGCAUGCAUAUAUUUAAGACUUUUGAAGCAUGGGCCCAUAUUGACUUUGAGAAGAGGUGAGAUAAGGCAUAUUCCGGUGAUGCCUUUGGAUCAACUCAAACCAUUAAGAGUAAUUCAGAGAGAAAUACUGUCUAGGACAGUAGUUGAUGUAUACAAUUUAAUAUAAAGGUUGACAAAAUGGACCUCUUCCAAAAAGAAAGACAAGUGAUAAGAUGAAACAAUAUUUUAAGAUCAUUAAGAGGCUCACGGAAGAAAUGAGACUGUGUGACCUGUACGACAAAGCAACGUGACAGACACAAGAGAAGAUUUCCAAUUACGUAAAGUCCUACAGCUAAAUGCUGCACUUGUUUUAAGUAGCUCCAUGGGGUAAGUUCAACAGAAGAAAGUAUUUUCUAACAAAACAAACUGCUUAAAAAUGGAAUAGAUAAUGCUGUCUACACCAAAGGAUGUUCUGUCUGAACCAAAUCAG